CCGGAGCAGUAUUCUCGUACUCCGAUUUCAUUCGCUUCGUUGCGCACAAUUCCAUGGACCACCGCCGCUCGACGUACGUCGCGCCAGCACUCCGUCGCUGGUCGUAGAACAUUCUCAUUCGCCAAGGGGAGAAGUCGCUGUCGUGCGAGCGGAAUAGGGACGAGAGUUUUCCCUAGUUUUUCACGGUGCGAAGAAAAUUUCCGUGUUGUGUACUAUCGCCCACCGUUGAACAGGCAUCCGACUGUCGAGCGGGGCUGGAAUUCGCGAGUGCAAGUCCGUGGGAAGUCGCUGCAGCGAAGUGCAAGUGCCGUCGUUCGUCUUCCUAUGAAAACUCUUGAGUGGAAAUUGAUCAAUACCCGAGAAAUUACAAUAAGAAAAGCCUGAGCGGGUGCACGGAAGGUGGCCGGGAAAAGGAAGUUGGACUGCAGUCACCAGGAAAGCCACUGCAGCGAGUGAGUGUGUGAAAAUCCGCGUCCGCUGCGUCGUCAUCUCCGGUUGGGUGUCAGGUGUGCAAAAAUCUGUUUUCCUCGCGGUGCAGGUGUUUCUGUGCAUUUUCGCACUUCUCGGCCGCAUAGGGUGCCGUGGCCAACAUUUUCAGAAUCCUUACGAGGAAUUCCUCGAGUGUCGUGAGAGUGGUUGUGUGUCCCCAGCGGGGGGCGAGUCGGGUGCCCAUUUCGCGAAAGACGCGCCACAACAUUUGCCAGUAAACAGAGAAGUUUUCGCGUCUUGCUGAUCGGCGAGUAGUGAAAUUGCGUGGAAACUAUCGGCCGGUGGCAGGGUAAUUGCUACUCAGAUGCCGUUCACCUUUUGUAAUCAUCAUUGAACCGAGUCCUGGAUAUUUGAUGUUCGUCUAAACUAAAAUGAUACACCAGAACUCAUAAGGCUUUCAAAUUUAUGAUUCACACGUCCAAAUCAGUCGAACUUUGCUGCUGAAAUCCUACUCAUGAAGAAACAAAUUGUAUUCGGCAUUCAAAAUUAACAGAAAGUCAACCACAUUGACGUCGCCAUCAUGAUGGACAUGGAGCCACGGGUUGCCCUAUUACAGGAUCUACACCUGCAGAGAUUCGACACUAUUCGAUUUGCGUCUUACCGAACUGCCUCGAAACUUCGAUAUAUACAGAAAUCUACAAACUUACAUUUAGUCGAUAUAUGGAAUGUUAUCGAAGCAUUUCGGGAGAAUGGUUUGAAUACGCUUGAGCCACAGAGUGAAGUCAGUGUUGCCCGAUUGGAAACGCUCGUCUCAUCGCUCUAUCACAAUUUGAAUAAACGUCUUCCAACAGCGCAACAAGUUCCUGUCGAUUCUAAAGCUGGCCUAUUACUUAAUUGGCUUCUGGCUGCCUAUUCUAGUGAUAAUACCGGAAAAAUUCGAGUUUUCUCGAUAAAAGUAGCACUCGCGACCAUGUGUGCUGGAAAACUAGUUGAUAAAUUACGAUACAUUUUCUCUCAAAUAUCCGACAGUGCCGGGCAGUUAAUUCCGUGGAAACUUGGUGAAUUUCUUCGUGAGGUGCUAGCCUUACCGGCGGCCGUCUAUGAAUCUCCCACAUUCCACUAUAAGGAAAAUCUUGAAGAGGAAAUUUUCCCAGCCGAAAAUAAAAUCACAGUUAACGACUUUAUGGCCACACUCAUGUCCGAGCCAGGACCGUCGUGUCUAGUAUGGCUGCCACUCUUACAUCGAUUAGCUACAGUCGAAACGAUAGUUCAUCCGACAAUAUGUUCUGUAUGUCAUAAGGAGAACUUUACCGGUUUCCGUUAUAGAUGCCAACGAUGCCAUGCCUACCAGCUAUGCCAGGAGUGUUUCUGGCAAGGACGUACCUCAUUGAAUCACCAAAACGACCACGAAGUGAAAGAGUACUCGAGCUACAAAUCGCCAAGUAAACAAAUUGGUCAUUCGUUGAGGAAAAGUUUUCGUUGUGUACCGGAAAAGAACAGCCAAGUUUUGCCAAGAUUUCCUGAACAACCAGAGAAAACUUUGAAUUUGUCGCAUAUUGUGCCACCAUCACCACUUCCAUCACAUAAUGGUUUUUCCGAUCCAAGUAUGUUAGGUGGUCAGGGAGCGUUCGAUAGAAGUAGCACCCUCGAUUCGAGAGCAACAGGUCGAAGUUUAGAUAGUGCUGGAGCCUCUCUGUCUCGAGCUGCCUCGUCGAACGACGAGGAGCAUCGAUUGAUUGCGAGAUAUGCUGCAAGAUUGGCACAGGAAAAUCGAACGCCAUCUGGUAUCUCAAACGAUACUGCCGCCCUUAGUUCGGAUAAUUCACGAGCACAACGUGAACUUAUCGCCCAACUUGAAGCCAAAAACAAGGAGAUCAUGCGAGAAAUUGCCCGCCUUAAAACACAACAGGGAUCUCAACAAAUGAAUCCCGAAAGUCCGGCAUUAAUGAAUGAGCUUCGUCUGCUGAGACAGCGCAAAGGCGAGCUCGAAGGACAUUUGGGUGCACUUCAAGAUUCACGCCGCCAACUCAUGGUUCAACUCGAGGGUUUAAUGCGAAUGCUAAAAAAUCAACAAACUUCCAGUCCCCGUUCAACGCCAAAUUCUAGUCCACGUUCGGGCAAGAGUCCGCCGUUACCACAACAACAGCUUACCAACCAUCAACAGCAGCAACAAUCAACAGGAGGUCAAAUGUUGGGUGGAAAUCCAUUACGAACCGGAGGACCACUUACCAAUUCAUCACAAAUGCAGCAACAAGCAAUAGCAACGAAUAAUUCAAAUCAGGUUGCCAUCACUUCAAACAUGGUGAAUGUCACCAAUCAAAUUGAUUCGUCGCUGAAUUCCCUUGGAGGUGAUGUUCGGUCUGCUUUUGGAACGAACGGAGCUGCAAACGGUCCAACUGCAUCCACUAAUAGAAAUUUGCGAUCAGAUUUACAUAUUGCAGCUGAUUCUGUAACGUCUGCCAUGUCGUCGCUAGUGCGAGAGUUGAAUACAGAAAAUUGCCUUGUGGACUCUCCAAAUAAAUUUAGAAAACCUUUAGAAUAUCAUCCAAACAUAAUGUUCCAACAGCACUACUCGUAAUACAGGAAAACGGCAAAAAGGACAAAGUACAUGGAUAUAUCCUUACAGAUUUUGACGAAAGUAUUUCUUAUAAUACCGAAUGGCACGAAAAGCAGAGCAGUAAUCAAUGGCAAGAACAGUUUGCCCAAUGGAAUUUGAACGCGCAUAAUCAAUAAACAGAAAAGGAACUGGUCGUGGAGCGAAGGGUGUGAAAGGUUACGUUUAAAGUUGUUAUUUAUAUUAUUUACAAUAAAUAAUAUAAAGGAUAUUAUUGUAGAGAAUACGCCUUUAUUUUUAUUCUUUUAAAAUGACUCUUAAAGCAGAGAAAUGUGUUUCAACGUAAAUAUUAAGUGGGGACGUGUUACAUUGGGGAUAUUUAUUCAACAAAAAUAAAAGCAAAAACGUUUUAAGAAUAGAAAAUCUUUAUAUACAUAUUUUCAGGGAAUUCUGAUGAUCAAGAAAUUUUCAUUUAAUACUUUCAUGUCGAUGGCUACGGAUUAAUAUUUUUCCUGUAAAAGAUACAAUUUGAAAUGGGAAGUUGCAAAAAGAAAUUUUGUUUUAUUGAAUAAAAUAACAUUCAUUUUCCUUUGAUGUUAAAUAUUGUACUGUAAAUGUAGAUAAGCAACUAAAGUCUGAUUUUCUUUUCAAAGUUUUCAUAUCUUACACAAAUACAAAUUAUUUCCUGAUUCAAUUUUCAAAUACAAGUUAAAAUAGCUUUUGCUUACUCUUAAUGUAAAGAUGUUAUCGAACAUGAAUGUGAAAUUGUAUCUGUUUGUAAAAUCAGCAUCCAAUGUGGUUUCUGUGGUCGCAUUCUAAAAAUUCUAUAAAAUAUUAA